rnacentral:rRNA from 1 species
ACGGGAGGCAGCAGUGGGGAAUAUUGCACAAUGGGGGAAACCCUGAUGCAGCGACGCCGCGUGAGUGAAGAAGUAUUUCGGUAUGUAAAGCUUUAUCAGCAGGGAAGAUAAUGACGGUACCUGACUAAGAAGCCCCGGCUAACUACGUGCCAGCAGCCGCGGUAAUACGUAGGGGGCAAGCGUUAUCCGGAUUUACUGGGUGUAAAGGGAGCGUAGACGGUCUGGCAAGUCUGAAGUGAAAUGCCGGGGCUCAACCCCGGAACUGCUUUGGAAACUGUUGGACUGGAGGGCAGGAGAGGUAAGCGGAAUUCCUAGUGUAGCGGUGAAAUGCGUAGAUAUUAGGAGGAACACCAGAGGCGAAGGCGGCUUACUGGACUGUAACUGACGUUGAGGCUCGAAAGCGUGGGGAGCAAACAGGAUUAGAUACCCUGGUA